rnacentral:rRNA from 1 species
AUGCAAGUCGAACGAACUCUGGUAUUGAUUGGUGCUUGCAUCAUGAUUUACAUUUGAGUGAGUGGCGAACUGGUGAGUAACACGUGGGAAACCUGCCCAGAAGCGGGGGAUAACACCUGGAAACAGAUGCUAAUACCGCAUAACAACUUGGACCGCAUGGUCCGAGUUUGAAAGAUGGCUUCGGCUAUCACUUUUGGAUGGUCCCGCGGCGUAUUAGCUAGAUGGUGGGGUAACGGCUCACCAUGGCAAUGAUACGUAGCCGACCUGAGAGGGUAAUCGGCCACAUUGGGACUGAGACACGGCCCAAACUCCUACGGGAGGCAGCAGUAGGGAAUCUUCCACAAUGGACGAAAGUCUGAUGGAGCAACGCCGCGUGAGUGAAGAAGGGUUUCGGCUCGUAAAACUCUGUUGUUAAAGAAGAACAUAUCUGAGAGUAACUGUUCAGGUAUUGACGGUAUUUAACCAGAAAGCCACGGCUAACUACGUGCCAGCAGCCGCGGUAAUACGUAGGUGGCAAGCGUUGUCCGGAUUUAUUGGGCGUAAAGCGAGCGCAGGCGGUUUUUUAAGUCUGAUGUGAAAGCCUUCGGCUCAACCGAAGAAGUGCAUCGGAAACUGGGAAACUUGAGUGCAGAAGAGGACAGUGGAACUCCAUGUGUAGCGGUGAAAUGCGUAGAUAUAUGGAAGAACACCAGUGGCGAAGGCGGCUGUCUGGUCUGUAACUGACGCUGAGGCUCGAAAGUAUGGGUAGCAAACAGGAUUAGAUACCCUGGUAGUCCAUACCGUAAACGAUGAAUGCUAAGUGUUGGAGGGUUUCCGCCCUUCAGUGCUGCAGCUAACGCAUUAAGCAUUCCGCCUGGGGAGUACGGCCGCAAGGCUGAAACUCAAAGGAAUUGACGGGGGCCCGCACAAGCGGUGGAGCAUGUGGUUUAAUUCGAAGCUACGCGAAGAACCUUACCAGGUCUUGACAUACUAUGCAAAUCUAAGAGAUUAGACGUUCCCUUCGGGGACAUGGAUACAGGUGGUGCAUGGUUGUCGUCAGCUCGUGUCGUGAGAUGUUGGGUUAAGUCCCGCAACGAGCGCAACCCUUAUUAUCAGUUGCCAGCAUUAAGUUGGGCACUCUGGUGAGACUGCCGGUGACAAACCGGAGGAAGGUGGGGAUGACGUCAAAUCAUCAUGCCCCUUAUGACCUGGGCUACACACGUGCUACAAUGGAUGGUACAACGAGUUGCGAACUCGCGAGAGUAAGCUAAUCUCUUAAAGCCAUUCUCAGUUCGGAUUGUAGGCUGCAACUCGCCUACAUGAAGUCGGAAUCGCUAGUAAUCGCGGAUCAGCAUGCCGCGGUGAAUACGUUCCCGGGCCUUGUACACACCGCCCGUCACACCAUGAGAGUUUGUAACACCCAAAGUCGGUGGGGUAACCUUUUAGGAACCAGCCGCCUAAGGUGGGACAGAUGAUUAGGGUGAAGUCGUAA